CCUACGGGGGGCAGCAGUGGGGAAUAUUGGACAAUGGGCGAAAGCCUGAUCCAGCCAUGCCGCGUGUGUGAAGAAGGCCUUCGGGUUGUAAAGCACUUUCAGUGGGGAAGAAAGCCUUGGGGCUAAUACCCUCGAGGAAGGACAUCACCCACAGAAGAAGCACCGGCUAACUCCGUGCCAGCAGCCGCGGUAAUACGGAGGGUGCGAGCGUUAAUCGGAAUUACUGGGCGUAAAGCGCGCGUAGGCGGUCUGAUAAGCCGGUUGUGAAAGCCCCGGGCUCAACCUGGAACGGCAUCCGGAACUGUCAGGCUAGAGUGCAGGAGAGGAAGGUAGAAUUCCCGGUGUAGCAGUGAAAUGCGUAGAGAUCGGGAGGAAUACCAGUGGCGAAGGCGGCCUUCUGGACUGACACUGACGCUGAGGUGCGAAAGCGUGGGUAGCAAACAGGAUUAGAUACCCUAGUAGUC
rnacentral:rRNA from 1 species